GGUAAUUCUUCUUUCCACAUUUGUUACUCCAUGAUGCAAAUGCUGCAGCUUCAUGAAUUGGCACUUAUGGUUAUCACAGUUUUUAUCACAGUAUUAACAUCGUUCUGCAUCUCUGGUUAGUUUACAUGCUUAAUUAUUCCUGUUUCAUUCCCUUCCAGGCUUUCAAUUAUUUUUAAAUUACAUGACUUUUGAAAGACAACCUGAUACUCCCAUCUUUAUAGAAGUUCCUUCUUAGAAGAGAUGAAUGAGCUCAACAUUGAAGCCAAGACAAGGAAAAGCCGAGCUGGACGUGGAGGGUGAAUGCUGACGGGGACGUCAGGCAGUGACUUUUGAAGUAUGUUUCUGCUGCUCACUGUGGGGCUUAUGGGAAUGUGCUCCAUCUUUCCUUGCUUCAUUUCACUUGUCAGUUAAAAAGGGCAUAAUAUUUUUAUCCCCGGCGUCUUAUAAGUCAUUUAUUUUUCGAUUUCCAUAUAAUGAGCCUUGCUCAUAUUGAAGUAAGUUUGCAUUAUUAACAAAUGAUACCUUCACGAUGAAAAACUCCCUUCCUAUGCAGAGAGCCCAAGGGACAGCUCCGCCUCUCAUCAUGUACCUUCAUGUCUUUCUGAAUGGAUGAGCCUGCUCUGUUGCCUAAAGGUCAGCCUGCAAUGGAUUUGCUGACUCAGCCUGAAUUGAUAAUGUCUAAGAGUUUCAAUCUACCUAUUUAAAGUACUUGCUCUUUAGUUUCUAGUAGAAAUAAAACCUGGGAAAUUUUAGGGAAGAACAAAAUGUAAUUUUUUUUCCCUGAGAACUGAAUCUUUUUAUGCAUAAUAUAUAUCUUUUAGGACAUCUUUAUUCAAUAAGCCUGAUCAAAGAAGCAAGAGUUCAGAUGUUAUUAGCCUGCCUCGCCCAUGUUCUUACAACCAAGUCAGGAGACCACCCUUUUCUCUGUAGCUGCUGCUUAAUGUAUAGAAAGUGAGGAUUUGCAAGAACUCCUGGUUAAUUAUUAGAUUUGUAAUUUUUAAAAAUAUCUGACCAUUUUCUUCUUCUAAUUUUCCACCUAGUGUUUCCAAUCUAAGAGACUGGUCAACACUAAAAAAAUAAAGAUGUUAAAGAUAAAUUAGUCAAUCUCAAGUGUUGCUCAUAGAUUAGAACAUUUUAUAGGAGGUAAAUACAUUUUUAGUCCUUAUUUUUAUGAAGACUAAAACCUUCACUUGUAAAAAUAACUGUUCAAUAAUAGUUAAUAUUAUCAUUAUUAUUACAAUAAUAACCAGCUUUGUAUACCUUCUCCAUCCCUGGAAAAAUCUGAAGGAUAAUAAUUAGACCCAAUAAAAAUAUUAUUAAGCACUGAAAAAAACAAACAAACCAGAUUUGGGAACUAUUUCACUUAGUUGUAACUUUUCUUCAUAUUCUUACUAGCCUACUUUCUUUUCUGGGGGUGUUGGAUACUGAGGAUUGAACUCAGGGUCACUCAAUUACUGAGCCACAUCCCCAGCCCUAUUUUGUAUUUUGUUUAGAGACAGUGUCUCACCAUUGCUGGGGCUAGCUUUGAAUUCGUGAUCCUCCUGCCUCAGCCUCCUGAGCCACUGGAAUUACAGGCCUGUGCCCCUGCGCUCAGCUUAGCCUAAUUUCUUUAUGAGUAUAUUAUGGCUUUUGCUUAAUUCUAUUACUUAAAAUUUAUUUACUGCUUUCCAGAUAAACCCAAGCACUGAACUAAAUAUUUCACAAGGAUUAUCUCAUUGAAUAUGCUUAAUAACAUUCAGAGGUGAUCACUAUCAUUAUUCCCAUUUUAUAGGUGAAAAGUGGUAGGUGAAAAAUUUCCAAGGUCCCAUCACAGGUAAUUCAUAACACUGGGUGGGUUUGACUAACUUCAAGACUGUGUGCUUCAUUACUUUGCAACCCUAUCUGCCAAGUAACAGGAUGCAGUCAUUUGUUAAACACCUUUCACAUGAAUAUAAGAAGAUUUAGGAUUGAAAUAUUUCUACAACUUAAAUUUUUUAUAUAAAAUGAUCAAUAUAUUUUGUAAAAUUUAUUAUGUUUGGGAUGUUCUACUAUUAAUUAUCAAUCAUGGCUUCCCCAAUAUUGGUUAGAUAUUCUUUUGUUCAUCUCUGAAAGAUGCAAGUUUAUUUUUAUGGUUUUUCUUUUAAAUAAAUUUCUAUUUUCAUUUAAAUAGUCCAUGCAAAUAGUAAGAACUUCAAUAAGAAAAACUAAAGUAUGUAUAAUAGGAAAUGUCUACCAUCUCAGUUCCAUCUUUCCCCAUUAUUUUUUUUCUGAACGAGUUAAACACAUUCACUUCCUUAGUUUAUUAAAUCAGUUGGUUCAUUAGAUAAUAUGCCUAUUAUUCUGUUAACUUUUUAAUUGCUGAUAUUUUAUCUUUUUAUAAGGUAUAUGGCAUGAAUAUAAUUAUUUCAUAAAUUUGUCAAAGUAAGCAAAUGUAAUGUUAUCGAACUAAAAAAUGUCCUAUUUGAUGCAUAUUUUAUAUUUUAAAUUGUAUUUAUUAAUGUAUAUUAAUUGUAAAAAUUGAUGAAUUUCAUUGUGACAUUUCCACACACUGCAUAUUUUAUGCUUUGAUCAUGUCUACCCUCUUUCUUCUCCCCUCUCUCCCCACUCCCCCUAGGCCCCCUUCCCUUUCUCUAAUAGUCUCUCUUCUACUUUCAGGGCAUUUUUUCUCUUUAGUUUCCACGAAUGAAAGAAAACAUGCAAUACUUGUCUUUCUAUGUCUGAUUUAUACUGUUUAACAUGAUGCUCUCCAGUUCUACUCAUUUUCCUGCAAAUUGCAUUAUUUCAUUCUUUAUGGGUGAGGGUACUUUAUUAUAUAUAUAGACUAAAUUUCUUACAUUUUUAAUACAUGAUUUUCUUCUACAUUUUCUGUUUUUGGAAUGCCUUUUAUAGAUUAAGUCCCUGAUUUCAUAGAACAUUUUUCCUUCAAUAUUUUUAUUAUUAUAUAUUUUAUUACAUUCUUGUAACUAUCCUUUUCAAGAAUAUCUUUCAAGCUAUUUUACUUAUUAGUGUUAUGUAAUAAUAAAAAAAUAAUAAUAUUCAUUGAUCUCUAAUUAUGUCUGCUUAAAAACAUCUGUUUUCCUAAUUUGAUGGAAAGGAUAUCUCCUCUAAUGUCUCUGAUUGAUUGCACAGUUUAAUCUUUCUCUGUGUAUGCACACUUAACUCUAUGUAUUCGUUUGUUUUGUUUUGCUUUAUAUAUCUCCUUUACCUCCCACAUUUUCUUUCAGUGUUUCAUGAUUGUGACUAUAAACUUAUUGUCCAGGAUCAAGGCAUGAAAAGGUGGUGAAAAAUUUGCUUAUGAGGAGAAUAUUUGGGAUUUCUGUAGCACUGUUAGGUUCAUUUAGCUUUUGUACCUUCAGACACUGAAAUCUAAAGGUCCAUCUAUCUCCUGCCCUGGUGGGCAGGGGAAGGCUCAUGAGGAAAGUAUCAGCUUGGCUACUAGUAUUCUGAAGUAGGAAAAGAAAAAGAAGUUGUGAAUCUCACAGUUUUCUAUCUGGAUUUCACUUCAUCCUCUGUUUUCUAACCAUUCCUCAGCCCAGUUCUCUACCAUGCUUCGUGUCUCUUAAAUCUAGAGCAUUCCCCAAAUUGUCUCCAGGCUCUUGAGAGGCAGGGGUGGUGUGGUGAGGGGAAAGUCAUUGAUUUGCUGGUGUGGGGCCUACUCUGAACGCAGACUUUGUAGCAGAUCUUGCAGAUGAAGUUUUGCAUCUCAGCCCCACCUCUUGCUGUUCCCAGGACCACUGGUUCCUUACCAUCUCAUGGGCUCCAUGGAGCACCAUGGCCCACUCAUCUUUCAUUGGGUGCACCACUCCAGAUAACUGGGUUGUAAACAAGUCUGCUCUACUUAGUCAUUUCUCAAUUCUCCAUCUGUUCUCUGUCUUCCAGUUUGAACUUCCCGUCUGCUAUCAUCUCUUUCUCGUUGUCUUUAUUCUGGGUGGUAUUAAUUGUUCUAUUCCAUUAUUUUAUUUAAAGGAGCUUGAAGUUAUAGAAAAGAGAAUCGUGUGGAAGAGUAAACAUUUUUCUUUAACAAGAAGCAUACUAUGUUUAUUUGCUUAUUAUAUUAUUUAUUUCUUUGGUUAGAAGCCUAAAAAGAAAAAAAAAAAAAAACCUCUCAAAUCAUUAUAAGUUAUCAGUUUAGAUUAAACAAAAUUUGCAAAAGCAUAAGGGAGUCUUAAUGAUAUAAUUAAUGUGAUAAUUCUAAUACAUAUAUAUAAAACUUUACAAAAAAUCACAACCUGCCAAUAUCCAAGAAAUAUUUAUAAAAUUUUGCCAUACAUUCAAGCACAAGGAAAACUUUAAUAAUUUACUUCAAUAAAAAUGGUGUAAACUUUUUUCUGAUCAUAAAGAAAAUGAAUAAAAUAUAUAACCAAAAUCAAAAGAAAUGAGAACCUUAUCAUGUAUAUCAAUAAUAGCAGAAAUAAUAAAAGGUUUGAGAAAACAAAACAAUUAUUGGAACAUUCUUGGUUCAAUUUUUUAAUUAAAAAAUGGGUGAAAUAGAUGAUCUUCUAGAAAAACAUAAAUUAGAAUAUUGAUUUUACCAAAACAAGAAAUACUUGAUAGUACAUUUAUUAUAAACUAAACAUACUUUGUUUUUGAUUGCUCAAAUAUUAUAUAAUCUAUUCUCUUUGAAUGAGGUUACCAUGUAUAUUACAGGAAAGGAAAUUAGAAGUCAUUGAACCAAAUAUAUAACAUAAUAAGUAUCAGUUAUUUAUUUAGGUGUUCAAUAAAUUAACUAAAAGUGGUUCCUGGAAUCAUUGUUUGUUUCCAAAAUGAUUAUGGCAAACUAAUUCUUGACUUUAAGUCUAAAGGAUCAGAGGGUUAUGAAAUGUUAAGGGCUGAGAGAAGAUGACAUUAGUUAAACUUCUCAUUUGGAGGAGUGGCAGGAUCUUCAGAAUGUCCCUGCUGAAAUUCCUGAGUAGUGAGGUGUGAGGUAACUGUAAGCAUUGACCUGGUCAAAACAGUGCUCUAUAACUACUAGCAAAUCCUCAGUGCUUUCCACAGGGCAAACUUUUAAACCAGUUAUGGCCAUAUUGGUAAAGAGAUCAAGAGCAAAUGUGAUCUCAAAGACACCCACAUGACUCUAAUUUGCAAAUCCCAGGAUUGUAGAAGGGAAAUGCUGUGGUAUUUUUCUUUGGGUUACUCGCAGCUUAACACUCACAAUUUUAUUGAGAAAAAUGGACCUAUUUUUAUUCCAAUGGGCUCCAAAUUGUUACUUUACUCAUAUCUUUAUUACUAGACAUGUCUUAAUUUAAUAAGUGAUCUGUGUCCCUAGUAUAGAGACAAAUAGAUUUUAUAAGUAAAGAUCUAAAAUGUGAAUUUCUAAUAACACAACAAAAAAUACAGUUUUAUUUAUUUUUUCUCCAUCACAGAUGAUAUUUUCUAUAACUUCUGUGCAAAAAACCCAAUAUUAUCUUUUUCUGAAGAACAUGAUUGAAAUAACAAAAUCCUGGUGUCCAUUGAUUGCACAAUUAGUAACAGUUUGGUGGCCACAAUAAUCCAAUUUUACCAACAGUUACUACUGGUACAUGCAAACACAUACUUGAGGAAACCUCUGUGACACAUUCCUCACAUGAUUUGCUUUGGAAAAAUCACUUUCUAAAAUAACAUAAAUAAAAAUGCUUUUCUAAAAUAACAUUUAAUUAAAAACGUGUGUCUUGGUACACAUUGAACAAUAUCUGCAUUGAUACGAUUUGAGUUCUGCAAAACAACUCUUUGGCAUCAUUAUUGUUAUUGUUAUUGUCAUCGUCGUCUAUAGGAGCUAUUACAGGAAAAUAUUAUAAGACUUACCAGCCUAAAAAUUGUAUACUUUCUUCCCCUCUCUGCAUAUCCAUCAUCUAUGCUAUUCUUCUUCUUCCUCUACAUUUUCUUACUAGAAAUUUUAGAGCCUAGCUUUAGUUUAUUUGAAAAUAGUCUUCUGCUUUUAGUGUUCUAGUUCGGUUUCAAUGAUAUGGUAUCAUAAUGCCUUUGUGAAAUCAUCAUCUUUCUUUGAGGUCGAUGCCGCACAUUUUCAAUGAUCUACAUUUCCCAGGUCCUGAUGCAAGCCCUUCAUCAAUACACUUCACUGUCUUUUCUCCAUGCUCCACUCUGCUUGGUCUCUUCCUCUCUCUGAAUUAUAAGUUAUGAGGAGGCAGGGCCAUUUCCAAAAUCAAUUCCUGGCAGAAGAGAAAGGGCCUCCAUGCAUCAGGAAACCAUUUCAAAGGUUAACAGUUUAUCCAAGGGCAUUAAUUAAACUUCUUUCAUAAAUAAGGGCUCCGUGCUGUCAAAAGGUGGAGUGCAUGAAGAGACAAUUCCAAGGCUGUUGCUUCCUUAAAGAAAUGAAGCUCUUCACAGACAAAGCCUAUUAAGCACAUUCACUUUCAGAUUGUUAGAUGUAAAAAAUGAGAGGGAGACAUACAGGCAAUGAGAGCCCUUCAUUUCAGGAACAAAGAAUGCCUUCUGUAUUCUUAGGCACUGUGGUCUUGUCUCAGAAAAACUCAAAGAGCACUGAAGAUGGGAAUAAUUAAGCAAAUGAUUGAUACCAAACUAAAGAUGAUUUUUUUUUUUUAGGUUCAUUUGAUACCAAUUUCCUUCAGGGAGAGCGUCUGUUUAUUCCUUCUAGCACUGAUCCCCGUGUGUGAGAUAAAAAAUGACACCGCCUUUGUUAACCAGUUUUUUAAAAAAAUUAGCAAAUUUCCUUUCUUAGACUUUAACUGAUGAGAUUCUUUGCCAUUAAUGGAAGGGAAAUAUGGAAAAAUUAUAGAAUAAAUUAUCAUUGUCACUUUAGUUAUAGGAUUUUCCUAUGUUAGGUCUGCUACUAACAUUUGACAAAAUAACAUCAAGGGCAAGAGAAUAAACAACCUGAUUUUUGUUGUCACAUGGGUACUAAGCUGCAUCAAGAUGAAGUGCAGAUAUUAGGAAAUUCUAAGAAAAUAUUGGGCAAACGGGGACGUGGAACAGUUUAUCCACUCACGAGGUUGUAUAGUAUUACAUAUUUCUAAAAUAUGAAUGAGAGAUCUGUCAUAGAUUUGAUUGUAUGAUAAAGAAAGAAAAAUCAGCUUAAUAUUUAAUAAAAUUUCAAAUGAUUACUUAAUUACACACACACACACAUGUAUAUCUAUCUCAAAUUACUUAGCCUAGCUAAGUGCAGACAUGAUAGCUGCUAUAUUUUCCAAAGAACGAUUGGCCUCAGAGCUGCAGACAUUGGUUUUCAGUCAGAACUCUUUCCUUUGCAUCUUCAUCCAAUGAUUAUCCAUUUCCCCUUGGGUCUGUCCUUUUUCUCAGUGGCUCACAAUCCCUGAAGACACAAAUAACUGGGGCAACAAAAUGGAAGAAACAAAUGAAGUAGAUUACAUUCUAAGUGGACAGUGAUGGCCAGGGCUAGACACAACUUAGUGGAUAAAAGUCAGAGAGGAAGGCAGAAGGCUCUGACUAUUAGGUAAUAGAUUAGUCAACUUUGUGUUAUUAUAACAAAAUAUCUGAGAUAAUCAAUUUAAAAAGAAGAAACACAAAUUUUGGCUAAUUUGUGUUAGAUUUGGAGGUUUUUGUUUAUGGUCCAUUGGCCCUAUUACUUUUGGGCCUGUGGUGAAGUAGUAUAGCAGGGCAGGAGCCUGUGGCAGAGGAAGCUUCUCCUGACACAAGAGCCAGGAAGCAAAAAGAAAAACACAGGAGAGUCCAGGAUCCUAUAGUUCCUUCAAGGUCAUGCCCCAUAUGACCCAAACUAUAGCAGCCAGGUGCAAAGGAUGGCAUCACACAGAAUCUGAAACUCUACAGGGAGAGUUAGGACCCAAGGUACAGAGAAUUCAGGGAAAGAGAGAUGGGAAGGAAUUUCAGGGACUGGGACUUGCUUUUUUUCCUCUCCAGAGUAUGUUUUCUGACUGAGACAGGAUUGUCCUAAGGGCCAGAUCAGAGUGGACUAGAAAUUUUGUUAUAUUUAGACAAAUAACAUCCAGUCUUCUCUUAGCACAAGGGAAGUUGGAAUUAAAUGUCGGGGACAAUACUACAAUUGAGGGAAAUAUCUCACUAAAGGAUAAUAAGGAAAAUCAGGACUCAGGGAGAAAGUGGGGCUGGGAGCCAUGCAGGAUCCCAGAGCUCACAACCCCGGGGAAGACCCGGGAUUAUUACAUACAAAGGAUGCACUGCAGAGCUGCAGAAGUCAGGUGGGGAAUCCAAGAACCCAGAAGAGAAAGGCAUAAAAAUAAAAAUCCUAGAAAACUGAUGAAUCCCUGACAAUUCUGACCAAGAAAAAGAAGACUCAAAUAUAAAAUAUUCUGAAUGAAAAAGGAAUCAGACUAUGCGUAGAGAUUAAGAAGAUAAUAAAAACACUAUUAGCAACCAUGUUGUUGAAAUGGACAAAUUUCUGGGAAAAUGGAAUGUGUAGAAAUGAUUUAAAGAGAAAUAAAAAGUACAAACUGUUCUUUAACCAUGAAACAAAUUAAAUUAAUGGCUCAAAUCUUUCUUUGAGUGAAACAUCAGGAUCAGAUUGUUUUAUAGGGAUUUCUAGGAAGUAUUUAAAAUGUGGGUUUUUUUUUUUUACUUUUUUUUACAAAUACUUUUAACAAAUAGAAAAGAGGAAGUAUAUAGUUAAUUUUACAAGGAAAUUUGACUCUGAUAUAAAAAAGCACACUGACAUGUAAAAGAAGAAAUUACUGGUCAAUUUCUCUCAUGCAAAAGUUCUAAACCCCAAGUGCAAACCAGAAAAAUCAAGACAAAAAAUUCAAGACAAAACUGAGUUUAUCCUAGAUAUCCAAGAUGGCUUAAUAUUAAAAAAUAAAUGUAAUUCAUAUUAAUAAAUAUAUAGACAGUGAAUAAAAUCAAUAUCUAGCACUAGUUUAUUAAAAACUCAAGAGAAAUCUGACUGUAAAAAUAUUCAAACUUGUUCAACUUAAAUUUUUCCAAAUAUACUAGAAUCCUGCAGCUAUUAUUAGCCUGAUCUCUAAGAAUUACUUAAAUAAUUACUUUUAUUAAACAUUUAAAAAUAAAGGCAAUACACAGAAUUUUUGAGUCUUUUAGGACAGAUUCAAUAUUUUAAAUUUCUCUUUUAGGAUAAUGCAGUGUGAUGCAUUGGGAGUGACCUUGGGAUAGGUCCCCUGAGGUAUGAAUUUUGCCCUUGUAUUACUGCUAACAAGCUGAGUGACCUUUAGACUUAUUUGCAUCAUUGCUUUUUAAGAGAAUGAAGAAGUUAAAUCAUAUAAUUUUUAUGAUUCAUUUUACCUUUGUAGAGUUUUGAUGUUCUUUGGGUUAGAGAAAUAUAGUAUUUUUUUUUUACAUUUGUGAUUUAUGUAUGAUUUCUGUGUGCUGUAUUUUAAUGAAUUUAUCAAAUGAAAGACUUUUGACCAUUUUGGUAAAUUGUUUGGAAUCAGUUGUUCAACACAAUAUGAUCUUAACAAUUGAAACCUAAUAACAACCAUGAUCCAAAAUUCAAAGUGAUACUGAAAAGCAUCCUAAUCUGAACAUGGGAUACUUUGACAUGGCCAUUGUCUUGUGAAUAUCUUGAAAAAUGUGUUUUGACAUAAGGGUAUUGGAACACUGCUUUUCUGAUGAAGUUCAUAUUUUGAAAUUCACAUCAAUUCCAUGAUUAAAAAUAAAUAACACACAUUAAACCUUUUAAGAAUAUCACCAAUUUCUGUGUGCAAAAUAAGCCCCCUUGGGCCUCUGAUUUUUACGUGCAACUUGAACUCAUUUGUCCCAGAAGCCGACUCUAUCUCCCAGGAUCAAAAUUAGAAAAACUCCUGACAAUUUAUGAGCACUGAGUCAAAGGAUUUUUUAAUGAGUGAUCAUCAGAAUCUUAUAUUCUAUGCCCAUUUCUUGUGCUCAUUCUUGAAGGCAGGACUUUCUUUUUAUGCAACAUUUUAUUAUUUUUAAAAUUUUUGUUUAUUUACUUUUUUUGCAGUGAUGGGAAUCAACCCCAGGGACCAGUGCCUGAUAGGCAAGCAUUCUAUCACUGAACUACAUUCUCAACCCUGUCUUCCCUUUUUCAAAUUGUGGAGUCUCUAUUAAUAGGCUCAAAACUGUUCUGUGCCCACAGUGGUUGAAUUAAUAAAAUAAUUAUUGCAUUUAACAUUAUAGUUGUUUAAGUAAAUAACAAGGAUUGUUCAAAACAAAAAGGACAGUUAAUAAAUACAACUAAAUGCUGUCAUAUAAUUUAUGUAUGCAUUUUAAGUAAAGUUAAGAACAUAAAUACAAAAAAUAAAACUAAUUGAGCACUCUGCAAAAAGGACGUAUGUAUAAAUCGAAAAGACAGGCUCCAGUGACCCUACCUCUUGGUACUAAGGCCAGUGUGCAGAUCCCUCUCCUUCCAUGCUAGCUGAAUCUGGCGACUUUCUCCUAAUGAAUAGGAUACAUUAAAAAUGAUGAUGUCAUGUCACUUAGGAUUAGGUUAUAAAAAGAGAGUGAUUUUCAAUCUCAUUUCCAAUGCUUUUUCAUUCUUGGUUUCAAUCUGCCAUGUUGUGAGCUUCCCAAGAGAAAGGCCCCUUUGGCAAGGAACUGGGGGAGGCCUUUAACCAAUAAUCAGAAAAUGAAGUCAUCAACCCGGCAUCACGCAAGACAUUGAUCUACUCAACCAUCACAGGGGUGGGUUAGAAAGUGGAUCCUCCCUUUGUCAAGCCUUCAGAUGAGAACACACACAUGACCAAGAUCUGUUUACAAUCUAGUAAGAGCUUGUCUCAGGGACACCCAGGUAUGCUGCACCCAUCAUUAUGAGAUAACAAAUGUUUAUUGCGUUUGAGUCCUAAUGUUUGAGUAUUUGCUAUGCAACAAAAGAUAACUAAUAGAGUCAGGAAUGAAAUUAACACAUUGAAUACAUGUUGGUUUCAGGUGUUUGAUAACACAGUUGCAAGAAGCAAGCCAAAUUCUGUCUGUAAGUUAAUGGAAGAGACAAAGCAAAGAGAGACACAGGGCUAAUUGCAAGAAACCCCAGGGUCUGUAAGAUACAUACAAUUGAAUUGUAGGGGAGAAUCAGAGCUUUUCUUCAUUUUAGAGCUGGAAGAAAUGUUUCCCAUUAGUCCUCUUAAUGUAAUGAACUGGGGGAUGAGUUUAAUACCACUGUAACAAUGAAGAAGUAGUGCAUGGGCUUACUCUCAAUAUCUAUCUCUUCAGAAAGGACAAGGGCAGAGUGCUAGAACUUUGUUUCUUUUAACAGGCUACAGAAACCAAGUAAACACCCCUCAUUCUGAUGAUCAAGGUUAACCUUAGGGUAAAUUGUAUAAAAUAUUAGAUCUAUGGAUGAAAGGAUACAUACUAGCCCUAUUCUUCAUAAGAAUUGGAGAGCAUAAUCUUCAAGCUUGUAAUCAAAGACAAGAAAUAAAAGUAAAGAUAUUUUGUUGCAAUUUGAAAAGAGGUGUGUGAAUUAAAAAAAAAAAAACGGGAAAGGAGUAGAAUCAAGCCCUGCUUAUUAAAGUGAAGCACAGUAUUUUCUGCUUGUCUUGCCUCACUGGUUUAGACCAGGUACCUCAUUAGGAAGUAGUUUUAGAAAGUGGGGAAAAGGUGAGCAGUCCUCAUCCUUCAGCAACUGUUCCAGCCAAUGUCAACAACCCGUAAGGACGGCUAAUCUUGUCUGUGAAAUAUAAUAGGCCCACAGUUGCCUGCCAAAGCUGUAUAGUUUCAAUUGUAUGAGCUCCUCUCCUUGCAGCUGCUCAUUUUACCCUGAACUGGGAAAUAACCGUAUAAGGCGUUCAGAAAUGAAUAGUAUCAGUUUUCCUUAACCCACCAUAAGUGUACGCAAUCAGCUCCCCAUCUUUGAAUUCAACUAGCUGUGGAUCAAAAGAAUUGUUGCAUCUGUAGAGAACUUAUACAGACUUUUUUUCUUGUUUUUCCUUAAAUAAUAUAGAACAACCACCAUUUAUAAAGCAUUUAUAUUGCAUUUGGUAUUACAAGUAAUCCAAAGAUAAUUAAAAGUAUACAGAGAAUGUGAGUAGGAUCUAUACAAUUAUUGUGCCAUUCUGUACAGGAGAUUUGAGCAUUUAUGGAUUUUGGUAUCUAAGAGGGUUCCUAGAACUAAUUCCCUAUAGAUGCCUAGGGAUAACUGAAUGUUCUUAGAAGGACAGUUCUUACUUUCUGCAAGCCCAAAUAAUCUUAUUCCAUGUACUACUAAUGACUAGGUAACAGUUUUUCAUUUAAAAAUAGUUUUAUAAAGUCUACUGUCUUUUCCAUGUAACCAAAGGGAAUAUGAAAUCAUAGGGAUUUAUGGAGGGAGAUUUGUCAUUCUUGCUUAUUUACUUGUACUGUGAGAUAUAAAUUGAAUUUGAAGCUGUUUCUUCAGGAAUAAGUUAUUUUGCUAUCAGAUAAGUUCAUGUUCAUGGAUCAGACAUGGAUAAGGUGUUUCUAUUAGAGCCAUGUUAGGUGUAAGAGAGUGCUCUGAGUUCUAGGAUAAUGGUUUGAUUUUUUUGUGUGUAAACUUGGCUUCUAUUUUUAACUAGCUUAUUAGAACAUCCUUGAUCUACUGGAUAGUGAAAGUCAUUUCACAUAAAACCAAAUGACCUGAGGACCACGGAACUACCUAUUACAGCCAUUUUAACAACCAGCAGAUUAUCACGUGAUUGCCACAGCUUUUGGGAUCAUUAGUAAUUGAAAAUACAGGCUAGAAGACAAGGCUGAAAUGUCAUGGCCACUUCAUUGUUUGAUGAACUCCAUGUGACCUUACUCAUUGGUGACUGUGGAAUUUUGAUGUUUGAGAAAUCACCAAAAUGUCAAGGAAAAACACAAAAUUGUAGUUAAGUUAUAAAUCUGGCAUUUGUAAAUGGAAAUCAAUCAUCUUAAUUCUUUAGUUGAUCUUUUCAGUAAUUAGGUAAGGAUGCCCAUCAAAUAUGGAAAUGCUCACUCUUCUGAUACCUAAAAUGUGUUGACAAACAUUCAAACAUAUGGAAUAAACUGACUAAAAUUUAGCUGAACUUGGAGAAUGAAUGCUCUGCCUCCUAUAUUUAUCACUGUUAUGUUUCUUUCUUUCUUUUUUUAAAAAUGAUUCUAUUAAUUUAGUAACUAAUCUGGGAUAUUCAGUAAUUUGCAGUGGGUCUCUUUAUCAUUAGUGUGAAUUAACAAAAUGCUUCUGUUGUCCUUAGUAAUUAGUGUGAGAAGGAAAUAAGGAAAAGACAACACUUUCUGAAGGCUGCUCAAUACUACCUUUAUUUUCAUUUAAUGUCUAUUAGCUAAAUAUGGAAUUUUAAUUUCCUCCCUAAUUAUUGAGAAGUCUUUUGCUAAAUAGACCUAUCCCCCAGGCACAAUUGCUCAUUUUCACUGUUUGUAUUUCCACUUCACUUUUUUGAAAUGUGUUAUUUAUAUACUUGCAGAGUAAUUCACACACAUUUCUAUGAGAAAAAGGUAAAACAAACAAACAAAUAACCAUAAAUAACUUAGCCUUCUUCUUUCAUCUCUUUGGUGCUUCUUCUACACCUUUCAAAAACAGAUAGAAGGGAAUAUGUUUUGCAAGAAAAAAACUCAUGUUUAACUGAAGUUACUUCUUCAGCUUUUAAUCAGUAUUGCUUGUCCCAUAAUGGCUAAUGGUUUUUCUGUCUUUACCUUGGCAUGGAAGAUCAGAGCUAUUCCAGUUUGCACACCUUUUACUCUGGAAGAUUUUGAAGAUUCUAUGGGAACUGAAACUUUUUUUCUUAACUUCAGUACCAAUGAAUAUUUUCAGGACAGGUAGAACAUCUGAAAUUUAAGUUAAAAUAUCCCUAUAGUGUGCCUGCACCUAAAUCAUUCUAAUAAUUGAGGAAAUGACUUGUUUUCAGUUAAAUAUCUAUGUUGCCAACAAAAUGAUAAUGAUGACAAUAAUAGUGAAAGUGAUGCUUUACUCAUUUUGAAAUAUGCCCUAGGCUUUCAUCCACACUGAAAUGGGUUCUAGGUAGAUUAUGAUUGUUUUCAAAUGAGAAAAAUAUGGUAUGACAUGGUUAAAGAAUUUACCCAAGGGCUGAUAACUAGUAAGGAGAAGGUUAAAUUAAUAUUUUAAAACUUGCCCAUUAUUGGUUACCAUUUUUGUUUUUUUGGGGGGGAUAUUAGUUAUGUAAAAUGUUUAAACUCAUAUUGACGUGUUCAAAUGGUUGCCUUAAGUUUUCUGUUUGGUUUAUCAAGAGUCAUGAUGGUGACUGCUGAAAGGAUUUUGCAAUCAGGAGUUAUGCUUUGUACAAAGAAGAGUUUGAAAAUCUCCAAAUUUUAAUCAAACAUCUUGCCAAGAAGUUAAAAUGGGCUGUGGUUGUGGCUCAGCAGUGGAGCGCUUGCCUAACACGUGUGAGGCACUGGGUUCAAACCUCAGCACCACAUAAAAAUAAAUAAAAUAAAGGUAUUGGGUUCAUCUACAACUAAAAAAAUAUUUUAAAAAAAGAAGUUAAAGUAAGGAAGAUCUUAGUCUUCUUAUUUAUAAAAAGGGAAAAAAAGAUCUUUAUGCUUAAUAAUCUGCCAUUCCUCAUGUGGAUCUCACUGAAAACCUUGAGGGAAUCUUCCUUGGGUUUUCACACAAGUAUUGUUCAGAAACUUUUUGAGUAGCACUGUGUCCACCAUAGAUCCCACAGUCUAGAAGGUUGUAGGUGCCCUUCAACCAGUUCUGAGGAGAAUGAGUGAACUUAGAUUAAAAAAAGAGAAAAUAUCAUUUGUUUUGUGUUUAGACUAUUAAACUCACUAUUAUCAACUACACAUAUGGUGAUCUAUCUACAGUAUGAACAGUAUAAUAUCUCAAGUAUUAACGAUGUCAAGGUUCUGAACAGUCAAGGCUUACUCCAAAUUGCCAAUUAGCAUUCAAAAUGUUGAAAAAGAUAGUGUUUUAAAAGAACUCAUUUAAUCACUAAAAAAUGAAGAUACAGAAGACAUUCUUAUUUAGUUAUCUUUGAAAACUUCAAUUGCAUUAUUCCCAUUUAUACCUAUAGUUAUGCAUUUUAUUCAUCUUAUGGAUCACAUACAAAAUAGAAAAUGAAAGUUAUAAAUUAAAAUAUAUUCUUGCAUUCCUAUUAGACUCUUUUGUGACUCCUUCCUCUUCUUGGGAUUUUAGAUUCCAAAAUGGGGACCACUGCUUAAUCCAAAAUUUGUCUUUAUAAAUAGCUGAUAUAGGGACUGGGGUUGUGGCUCAGUGGUAGAGCGCUCACCUAGCACAUAUGGCCACUGAGCCACAUCCCUGGUCCUAUUUUGUAUUUUAUUUAGAGACAGGGUUUCACUGAGUUGUUUAGUGCCUCACUUUUGCUGAGGCUGGCUUUGAACUUGAGAUCCUCCUGUCUCAGCCUCCCGUGUUGUUGGGAUUACAGGCAUGUGUCAUUACGCCCAGAAAAACUUUCUUAUGAGUACAGUGUGUCAGCCAUACAACUUCUUUAGGCCUUUCUCAGAGAGGUGAUCCAAGUAUAAACUGGAAAAAUGAAAGACAUUGGAAUGGUAUUUUCUUGACAAUUUGUAUUCACCUUCUUGAAAAAUAUCCUCUGCUGCAAGAUGAAAGGGGAGACAUUAAAUGCAGAAAGAAACUGCAAAGAUGAGUUGGAAAAGAACAGAGAAAGAGGAGAGCAGAAUGUCGUAGGAACAGAAAGAUCUGCAGGGUGUUAUCCACUCCUGAAAAAUGUAGAAGUUUAGUUUGAGGCUAGAGAAAGACCCAGGAAGCCCCUUUCCUUCAGUCACCCCCAGGAAGAUGAUGGCUCUUCCCUGGCUGGAUGGGUUAGUGAAUUGCCCAAAGUGCAGCUGAAAUAUAUCUCCUGGAGGAUCCUGGAACAUGCCUUGCAUCUGUGACAGUGACAAAUAAUCCUUGCAGAACAUUGAGUGAUGGUGGAAAACUGUGGAAAUUCGAUGCUUUGUGGUUCACACACUGCAGAAUAUAUGUCUAUCGAUCUUUUCUUCUUCUAAGAAAAUGUCCCUUUGAUACAUCUGACUGCACACUUGAAAAGGGUGGCUUUUAUUUUUAUUUGACUUGGUUUUCCAAAAAGAAAUAAUCUAUGGAUUUCCUUGGGGAUUAGUGGUUGUCACACCAAGUGUGAUGUUCCAUAUACCAUUUGAACCCUAAGACUAUUGGCAUCCCUGACACAAGAGUGACACACACAUUCCAAGGAGGAUUUAUUCUGUUUUCCUCCUUCUUCAGGGACAAAAAUCACCAAACCAAGAAAAUAGUAAUAAUAAAUUCCACUAUAACUUGUAUUCUCAUUCUCAAUAAAAAGAGAAAAGUUCAUGAAUAUAAUCCACUAUUGAUGCUGUUCAUCAUCAACCUCAUCAUAAAAAUGAUGCCAGAUAAAAAGAUAAUCACAUCUAUGUAUAACUGUUAGCUUAGUCCUUUUAAUAAAAUUCAUAUUAGGUCUUUUAGCUUUAUUGAGGCAUGAUUGGCAAAUGAAAAGUGGAUAUAUUUCAGGUGAAUAAUGUGAUAUUUUGAUAUAUGUAUAUCAAAUGAUAACCACAUUCAACCUAAUUAACAUAUCCAUCACUUCGCAUAGUUACCUUUUAUUUUAUUUUUUUGUAGUGAAAACACAUAAGUUUUAUUCUCUUAGCAGAUUUCAAGUCUAUAAUGUAUUAUUAACUGCAAUAACCAUGCUGUGCAGUAGGUCUCAAGAAUGUAUUCAUCUUGUAAGUAAAAAGUUUGUUCCCUUCAUCUAAGUGCUUCUCUUUUUAAUGGUUGAAAACAAAUCAACAAAAGUUAGAUUUUUUCCCUGCUUUUUAUGUACUUUUUAAAAUGCAGCAUAAAUAUAUUUGAUAAAUACUGCUUUUAUACAUGUGGUUUCUGGCACAUGAAAAUAAUCUUUCACUAGCUAUUUUUGUAUCUCUGUUUUCUUGAUGCUGAUUGAGUUUUAAGGGAGAAAAUAAACAAAAAAACAUAUUUAAGGCUAUUAUCUCAAGACAAGUGUUUGCAGUCUUUUAAGUUAUUAUGUACAUGAUGAAUUGCAUGAGAGGCAACAGUUACCCAAAGCAAAGGAAGAGUCUUCUGCAAUAUUUGUGUUUUAUUAUUCCCCUUUGACACCUGUCUGAUUCCUAGUGUGAAAUAAAUUUUUGGCUCAUUAUUAUUUAAUUUGAAUCUAUUUUGUGGUUUAUAUGAAAUAAAUUCUACUAGGGAUAAAUAAUCUAGAAAGUGCUCUUGGUACUUUGUCAUCUUUCAGGUGAUAUAUAAUUUUUUCACUCAGGGUUACAUUUCUUAAAAAGAGAAUGCUACUAAAUUACCUGUGUUCUGGGUGCUAAGGAAAGAGGGAAAGGUAACUCAGUGAAAUGAGGAACAGCUUUGAAAACCUGAUAUAAAAACUAGCUCAUGUCUUACACCUUAAAAAGUUAGAAUUUCUUAAAAAUUGAGUAGGAAAUUAAUAUUUUGGGUUCAACUUCUAUUUGUUUUCAUUUCAUGAAGAUUUGUGGUUAUAAAAGAGUCAAACUUUACAAUUAAAAAGACCUUAGAAAUAAUUGAUUUCCAAAUCCACCAAGAUAGUUAAAAGGUACUUUGUGGAAAGUUGUUUCCCUGCUGAUUUAUUCUUUUUUAGCUUUAAAUAUGAUUGAAAAUCACAGUCACGCAUCUUCUCUUCUCCGAAUAAAUCCUACUCCAACCUUAGGAUUUGGGGUAUAUCGUGGUAGAAGCUUUCAUAUUCUCAUAAGACCUGCCUCCCUGGCAGAAGAUAAUUGUUGUAGUGACAUUGAUGAUGAUGAUGAUGUUGAUGAUGAUGAUGAUAUGAUCAUAAUUAAGACAGUCAAUACUUGUUGAGUGCUUAUAAUAAGCCAUGCACUCUUUGAAGACCUGAGUGUGUAUGAGUUCAUACACAAUAGUGCUUUGGGAUACUACUGAAAUUAUCUCCAUUUCCUCAUAAAGAAAUGGAAUUAGAGAGAUUAGCACUUUAUCAAAGGUCACACAUCUUCUAAGGGACAGGGCAAUGUGUCUCUAGGGUCUUAUCUAGUCCAGAGCAGUAUUCUGUAGGCAUUAAAUUUGUGCAAUCACGAUAUACUUGUUGGCUUAUAUUUGGGAACAUGAAACAAUCCAAACCUUUAGGAGCUGUGUCCUGGAAUUUUUCAAAUAGUAUAUGGAAAAAACAACAAAAACUUCUUCUGUUGGCCAUAGUUGCAAUAGGCCAUAUUUCCUGCAGAGCUGAGAAAGUUUGAGAGAAUGAAGGUAACAUGAGAGGAAUAGAGAUCUCUAUGGAGCGAAUAUCAUGGUGUGAAGACCUGACUCUGAAUUUGUAUAUCUGCUAUCCACUGCAAAGGUUUUAGUCAAUUCAAUUGUCCUCCUUUCUCUUUCUGUGUGCAAAUCAAAGGGAAUUGCUUAAUUUUUUUAAAAAAUAGAACUAAUAGCUAAUUCCUGCUGAGCUCUCAUGAUGAGAUAGGUAUGGGGAAAAUGUUUUUUAUUUUAUUUCUAAUCCUAAUGAUAAUCAGAUGCAGUAGGUGCUAGAUUCAGUUCUCAUUUUACAAAAGAGAAAACUAAAGCAUAGAAAAGUGAAGUAACUUGCCCACAGAUAGAUAUAUGGUUAAUACCCUCUGUAAUUGUCAAAAGUAGAACUUGGUUCUGUUUGACAUUAAAACUCAGCAUGUAGCUCCAUGUCAAAUUAUCUCCAUAUAACCCAAGAAUGACUGCACAGAAAUCUUUUAUUGAUAGUUAAACAAAAUCAUCCCUGAGUGAUUCAAAAUAGUAUAAGAGAUACAUGUUUUAAAAAAUAUCUCCUCUGUUGAGUUGACAAGAUGUAGGAGAGAGAGAAUUGACACCAGCAAACAUUCAUAAUAAAAAUGGUGAUCAAAUACAUAUAUUUAAACAUUAAUUAUGCACUAAUAAUAAUAAUGAUUAAUAUCUUCCUGAAGUUCAAUGCACUUUACCUUGUGUGUGCGUGUGUGUGUGUGUGUGUCUGUGUGUGUGUGUCUAAGUGAUCUUGAUUUAUCCUUUCCCAAAUCACAUAAGGGUAUUUUUAAUGUGUGAGAAAAUAAUAAUUUAUAAAAAAUUAAAACUUGAUAAUCAUUAAAUAAAUUGCAUGAGUGUUCCAUUGAAAUAAUAGUUUUGGAAAAUAAUCCCAGUCUUUUGAUUCUGCGUCUCCUGUUGCUUUCUUAUAAGCCACUGGUAAGAGUGUUAUGCAAAUACAAAUUAGCCCUCAUUCUAAAAGGUGAAGCCAACUGGAAAAUAUGUACACAAUGACUGAUGAGCAGUCAAAAUUAAGCUUGAACUGAAGUUAUAUAAAAAUUCUUACUAUUCUUUUAAAAUAAAUCUUAUUUUCAAUUUAAAUAUAGGGUUUGGAUAAUUAUGGAAUUCUCUUCACAUGUGCAUUUAUUACUAGUAUUCUAUAUGGUCCAGCCAAACCCUUGUGAUUCAUGAAGAGCAAUGGCAACCACAGAAGUUGGUCUCCACAAUAUGUGUCUGUCUAAAGCGCAUGUCAAGCAUUUACAAAAGUUGCUUGACAGCAUGCUGUGCCAUUAAUCCUCUGUGCUGCUUUUGAAGUGUGAGCCAUUGCAGUUAUUCAAGUCCAUUUCUCUGUGGCUUCAACUAGACAGCAAAUUCCUUAAAGUUGAACUGCAACAUGAGACCUCGAGGGUAUCAUGAAGAAAAAUACGAAAUAUCCUGAAGUGGUUAGUGCUUUUAUUCCUCCUCUUGCAUCCAUUUGGCAAGUUUAUGCUGACUAUCUCUGUGCCAGGAUCUAGGUUCUGGUGCUAUAAGCAGUGAAUGAAAAAUAGGCAUGGACCCCCAUCCCAACAUGGAGAGAAGCAGACCGGAAGCACCCAAACAAGGACAAACUAGUAUGGUGCUCUGAGGGGAAGUAUUUGUUAUUGGCGCUGUGGUAAUAGCGCCAGAGAACUGUUCUUUGGGAGGAGAUGUGGAGGUUUAAGAUUGCAUGAUGAGACAAGUUGGCCUCAAGAAGUUCCAGGGCCAGAGUGUUCUUGGCACAAGAACACUGUGAUAGGCAAAGGCACUGUGACAGAAAGGCACACAUUGCAUUUAAGGAGCUGAGAGUAAGCCUCUGGCUGUGAAACUAUGAGCCAGCUCAAAGAAGAGUGGAGAAGAUGCAUAGAGAGGGGCUGGCAUUUAUUGGGAUCAGAAGCCCCAGGAGAUUUUUAAAGAGGGGGUAACAUAUUGAUAUAUAUCCUAGCUUAGAGGUAGGAAAACUUUGUUGGUAACUGGCCAGAUAGUAGAUAUUUUUGGCCUGUGGCUCAUGUGGUCUCUUCUGUGACUCUUCAGUUCAUCAGCUGUUGUGUGAACAAAAUCGUAGGCAAUAUGUAAAUGAAUGGACCUCAAAGUGUUUCAACACGACUCUAUUUAUUGGAACAAUAAAGUAGGAAUUCUGUUAUUAAACUUCUUCUAAUAAAUUACGGUGAUGGUUAUGGACAGGAAACAAUGACACGAUGAUCAAUAAAUAUCAGAAUCUCCUGUGCAGUUCGGGCAGGCGUACUCUCAGGAUGGGGUCAUGUCCAAAGAAACACCAAUCCUACACCCAAAUACCCUGGUAAAGCAUUUGUAAGUCUUUAAAGAGGUACAAAAAUGUAAUGGACAAUUCUCCUUCCUGAUAAACAAGACCUCUUCCAAAUACUGGUUAUUUUUUUUAAAGAGUAUCUCACAUCUAGCUGUCCCCUAAAUCCUGUUUCCCCCUCUCCAAACUUCUCCAAACUCACCAAAUCAAGCCCAUGCUGACUAAUCAUUUUACCCCCACUAAAUUCUCAGAAUCUGUUAUUUCCUUUGUGCCAGGACUUCUCAGCAUCCAUUGACCUCACUGCUUUUUUAAUUAUCUGUAAUCAUGAACAUGUCUACUUUUCUUCCUUCCCUGUUUCCGAUUACAUGAACUGUAAAUAUAAUUCCUUGUGUACACCUUUAACUCCCUUGCCACUGUUUCUCAGUGUUUUUUUUUCUUUUUUUUUCAUGACCAGUAAUAUCUCCAACUUGGUAAAAUCUUAUUAUCUAUGUACUGAAAGUGGCCAAAGAACAACACAUACUGAUUGCCUGAGCUCUAAAACUGUGCCCACAAGUUUCAAUCCUAGAUUUCAACAUUUUAACACUUUUGCCUACACAGUUUGCUUGUGCACAUUUUUUUUGGUGGGGGGAGGGGGAGAGGUUACUGGGGAUUGAACCCAGCGACACUUGACCACUGAGCCACAUCACUGCCCUAGUUUGUAUUUUCUUUAGAGACAGGGUCACACCGAGUUGCUUAGUGCCUCGCUUUUGCUGAGGCUGGCUUUGAACUCGCCAUCCUCCUGUCUCAGCUGGCCGAGCUGCUGGGAUUACAGGCAUGCGCUAUGGAGCUUGGAUGCUUGUGCACUUUUUGAAACAAUUUGUCACCCUUUCCUCUCUUGAAUAUCUCUGUUGAAUACCCAAUAAGUAGUGCUCUUUUUCCUGCAUCUCACUUUCCAAUUCUCUUCUGAAUUAUUAUCAUCAGCUUAUUUUAAUAACUCAAACCUUACAAAAGUCCUCCUUUGAGUACACUGACCCACAAUGUCCUACUUAUUGGAUAAAAACUUAAUGUAUACUUAUUGGGUAAAAGUCUUAAGAUGUAGAAAAUGGCGAGAUCUAGAGUUCUGAGAAGAAUUGCCUUUAAUGGAAUCCGGAAAUCUUCAUCCACUCUGCAAAGGGAAGAUAAAUUGUGUGGAUAAAGAUAGAGGCAUCUAGAUAGAUUUGAUGCUAUUGGUUAAAUGUUUGGCCAGGUCAAUAGCUGAAUUUGUAAACCAUGUGCUAACUAUUGCCCCAUUUCUCCAAUCCUUUAAUCCACCUUUUCUUUAUAGUCUGUUCUAUUCAGGCUUCUAUCAGCACUUCAUCCCUGAAGCUGUUCUUGUCCAGGUCACUAAACAUAUCAAAAGUGUCAAAGGUGGAUUUCAUGUUGGCCAUUUCAGUGAUCAUUUCUCUGUCCUGAACAUACUUAACCUCUCAGACAUGAUUGACAUCAAUGACAAAUCCUUUCUUUUUUUAAGGUCUCGUCUCCAUUGCACUACAAUUUCAUGCCUUUCUUUUCCUUAUUUUAUUUAUCACUGCAUCCUUCUAAGCCUGAAUUAUCUCUUCUUUUUGUGCUGACUUCCUUAGUAUUGAGGUCUCAGAAUUUAGUUCAAAAUCCUGUAGUCCUUAGUACUCAAAUGUUUUCUGUAGGUUAUCACAUCCAAUAUUGAUAUUUUAAUAUGAUCCAUAUGUUAAUAAAUGAAGUAUUAAUAUCUUCAUCUUAACCUUUGCAGACUCAUGUGAUCACCUGCCUACUUAACAUUAUCAUUUAGAUGUCUAAUAGCUUAAUAUUCAUUUGGUCAAAAGGAAACUUGUUGAUUCUUUUAUCCCCCAAUUUAUUUUUUCUCCCAUUUUUCUAUCCAUCUAGUUGCUUAGGACUAAAAUCUAGGAACCACCUUGACUUCUUUUCAUCCUCAUUCUCCAUAGCCAAUCCAAUGCCAGGUUUUGUUAACUCUAUUACCAAGAUGCCUUUGCUAUUCACUUCUCUUUUUAUCUCUUGCAAUCUUAAUAUUUCACGACGCUAUAAUCAUCACAUGGAAUGCAAAAGCAGCUUUCUAAUGAGCGCCUUGUUUUCACUCUUGCACCAAUUAAUAUGUUGAAUUUUUAUUUUUUUUACAAGCUAACAUAAUUCUUUUAAUAGCCAAAAGAAGAUUGCAUUACAUCAUGUCCCUGCUCAAAAAUUUUCAAUGGCUUCUACUGUUAUUAGAUUGUAAUGAAUUAAAUUGAAAUCCUUUAGCAUGACCUACAAGAUUGCUCUUUUUUUUCCUUGUCUUUAUCUCUACUUUUCUCCCUCAGUCACUACUUUCUAGCUAAUAGGCACUAGCUGUCUUGUAUCAUGACCUUGUCACCUUACAAAGGCCUCUACAGACCUCUCAAAUUAAAGUAAUUCAUUUUUAGUUAAGUUUUAAUAUUAUUAUUCUGUAAUACUAUUCCAGAAUCCAUUAAUCACAUCUGAAGUUACUUUUUUUUACAUCCAAAUGGAGACUGCUUCUGUUUAGCUUCCCCAGUAGAAUCUACAGCUAAACCAUGUCUAGAACAAUAUAAGAAUGCAAAAAAUAUUUACUCAAUAUAUAUGACUAGUAUUGCUUUUCUAGAUUUCCAACAUUUCUUAUAUUUAUUUUUAACCUGUAAAACAAAGGCCUCAGAGCUAGUCAUGCAGAAAGAGAAUUCUCCUCUUUAGACAAAAGAAAAGCUUAUGAUUGUAUUAAUAUUUCAUUUCAAUAAUUGCUGAUAGAACCACAAUUUAUUGUUUUAUGAUGUGUUUUUGCACACCUUCUAUUUUACCCAUUCAAACACCUUGAAAUGUGUGUCAUUAUAACAGAAUAUGUUUUUUGCCUGUAUGUUAUUGGCAAAACAUACAGAAGCCAUCCUCCUGAUUCUUCAGUAAUUCUCUGGAAGCUCAUGGUCUUGUGGAAUUGAUCUGUUUCCCUGAACCAAAUGCAAGACCCAAGAUCUGAAUUAACAGAGUUCCUCUCCCUGGAAACUGCUAUUGAACCAGGGAUGUUUGCAUGAUACAAGAAAAUCUAACCAGAAUUAUAUAGGACCUCAGAUCGAGAGAGAGAGAGAGAGAGAGAGAGCUUCUUUCCCAUUGUGGAAAUGAAGCCAAAUGGAGACAUACCAUGAGUGAUGGAGAGAGAGAACCAGAUUGAGCACCUGGUGCCACUUGAGUAAAGUUAGCACUUACUGUCCGUGACAUUUCACUAAGCUGUGGUAACAAGUUCCUUUUUAUACCUGAGCUAAUUUGAAUUGGAUUUAUGAAGCUUGCAUUCCAUAAAGUCUUGACUAAUUCAAUUAUUCUCAUUUUACAGUGGGGAAAGAUGAAGCUCAGUGAAGUUUAGAAGCUUUCUAGAAAGGCCAUGUUGGAGCAAGCCCCUCUGACUUCUGAUAUCAUUCUUAUAUAUUUUUGAUAUAUCUAAAUACUCAGGAAAUCUUCAAAAAAAAAAAACCCUGAAAUUUCAUAUUCACAAAAUACUUUUCUUCAAAAUUGAAUAAUGGGUAAAUAGACUAGGUCUUAUAAGACCAGUUUCAAUUGUUUUGAUGAUUUUUUAAAAAAAUAUUUUCCCAACUUGAAAUAAAAUAUUUUAUUAGAUUUUUUCUUCAAUGUUUAUAGAAUAUUCCACACAGGAAAAAAAAAUAUUACAUUAGCAUAAUGCCUUGGAUUUUAUUUUUACUCUUUAUUCUGAUUUUCUCAAAACCCAUUAUUUCACUACUGGAAUGAAAUUCAUCUGAAAGACAGAAUUGCAAGUAAUUGAAAAUACUGCAAAAUUAUAUAGCAGUCAAGAUUAGAGUUAAUGAAAUUUGAAGUUGAUAUUCACAAUUGAAGUAUACAUGCAAAAUUUGUUGCUUUACCAAGAGGGUGUAUUAUCUUCUAGGAAAGUAAAAUAUAAAAAUUAUUUUCCCCUAUGUUGGUUGCUUUCCAAAUUACAUAGGAUGACAUGGAAGACUAAUGGAUUUCAAAUCUGAAAGGUAGUUAAAUUUCCAUUUUACAAUGUUAUAAGUAUUCCAAAAUGUACAAAGAAGCAAAAUGAAAAUUAGCUAAUACAGGAAUGAGGAUGAACACACUAAAAUAUUUGUUGAUAGGAGAGGUUGAUAGAAUUCAAAGAUUGUGGACAACACUGCAUAUUGUUUUGCUUUUUACAGAUGGUUAUGCUCUCCCCUCAGUUAACUGAAUCAGAAAACAUGGUUAAUUUGGAUCCCCUCCCUUUUGGUUCAUAUUUUCUGCCCUUACCAUUUUGAAUUGAGUAUACUGCCUUAUCUACUCUAUGUUCCUUUAAGUGACCUGUAUGGACACUGGCCUAGUUCAACAGGACUUGGUGCUCAGUUGCAAUGUCUCAUCUGCCAGCAUUAGGUUUUGCCUAUUUUAAUCCAGCCUCCAUAGAAUGUCUAAGUAAUUAUUUAAAAACAGUUCUAAGUUGGGAGUGUAUCUCAGCAGUAAAGUACCUGCCCUGCAUGCAUGAAGGUGCCAGGUUCUCUUUCUGGCACCACAGAACAACAAGAAAAACUUCAAAUUUGAGCCUGCUAUUUUAAUGCUUAAUAUUCUUGAACUCUCCUUUUUACCUGAAUGAUGAAGUUCAAAUGCAGAGUCAUUCAAGAAGUAUUUACCUGUUAGGCUAUAUACUUGGAGAUGGGAAUACAAAGAGAAAUGAGAAAGAGGCCUUCUCCUUAAGGAAGUUGAAUAUAGACAUGUGGUUAUGAUGGUGAGGAGAAGCACACAGCAGAUCAUUUAAUAUAACAUGGAAAGGGUUAUUAUAGAAAGGCACCCAGCACAUAAUAAAACUAGAAGAGUUAGCAGAGUCUAUGUUGUCAGGUGGGAUUUCUUGCGAGAUGAUGCCCGAGGUGAAGCUUAAAAAGUCAUUCUGACUCAGAAAGAAGAAAAAUUAGAUGAUUUUCUAGGCAGAUAUAGGAGCAAGAGAAAGGAUAUCCAAGGGUAAAGCAUAGUAUGUCUCAGUAACUGCAAGCAAUUCUAUAGCAGGAGGAGAGCAUAAAUUAUAUUGUAGGCAGUGGAGGCUCAGAAAGAUGGAGCAGGGGGAAGGAGUGAGGGAUCAUGAGGAUGGUGUAUGCCACACAGCCAUUCAACACCUUCUGAUUGGGGCCUUACUGUUUGCCUGGAACUCUGCUGAGGACACAGAACAGUCCAGAAUGAAAACUUUCCCAGGGGGUAAGCAAACUAUAAGUUAAGAGUCAAAUAGAUAUUGAGUGUAGGUUCUGAGAAUACUAUGAAGGAAAACACGAAUAUUGAUAUUAAAACUGGGAUGGACAUACUUCAGCUUUGAUGAUUAGGGAUGCCUUCCCCAAACAGGUCCCAUUUAAAGAUGAGAAUAAAUGAGCAUGUACAUAGUUAUACAGGGUCCCAUUAUAAAGACCCUGUUGUAGGUAAGAGUUUAACUUCUUUGAAGAAAAAAGACCACUAUGGCUACGGCAAAUAGGGAAGGGAUAGGCUAAAAAUGAAAUCUAUGAGAUAAUAAGGAAAUUUUCUUAGGGGUCUUCGGAGAUCAUGAUGAAUUAUGUAGAUUUUAUUUCAAGUCAAAUAAAAAUGCUUCCCAUGGUUUUAAACAAGCAAAUGCACACCAUGAUAUGGAAUCCAUAUCUCUUGAAUAAUAACUUUCAAUCAGUGAAGUUCACAGUCGUAUUUAUGCUGACUUACUCUAGAGGCUGAAGAGUAGAGUAAAUGUGAAUGUAGGAAGUGGGAAAAUAUAUUGAUCGGGAAGUUGUUAUGGUGGUAACAAAUGAUGAGGCUGGUAUUUUUAUAAAGAAAGGAAUAAAAUAAAGAAAUACUCAGGAUUAAAAUUACUGGAAUUUUGUGAUUAUCUGAGGCAGGAUGUAACAAUGGAGAUCAAGCAGUUUAGGAUUCCAAUAGGUUUCAUUAUGACAUGGUGAGAGGUAUCAUCAUGAGCUAAUUUAGAGAAUAAAGAGUAAAGACAGAUUUAGAAGGGAACAUUACACCAUUUCUUUUCUUUCUGGAGUCUGAGAUAU
rnacentral:lncRNA from 1 species